rnacentral:rRNA from 1 species
CCCGCUGAACUUAAGCAUAUCAAUAAGCGGAGGAAAAGAAACUAACAAGGAUUCCCCUAGUAACGGCGAGUGAAGCGGGAAGAGCUCAAAUUUAAAAUCUGGCGGUUUCACCGUCCGAGUUGUAGUCUAGAGAAGCAUCAUCUACGCUGGACCAUGUACAAGUCUCUUGGAACAGAGCGUCAUAGAGGGUGAGAAUCCCGUCCUUGACAUGGACUCCCAGUGUUCUGUGUUGUGCUCUCAACGAGUCGAGUUGUUUGGGAAUGCAGCUCAAAAUGGGUGGUAAAUUCCAUCUAAAGCUAAAUAUUGGCGAGAGACCGAUAGCGAACAAGUACCGUGAGGGAAAGAUGAAAAGAACUUUGGAAAGAGAGUUAAACAGUACGUGAAAUUGUUGAAAGGGAAACGCUUGAAGUCAGUCGCGUCGGCUUGGGGGAUCAACCCAGCAUUCAUUUGCUGGGCGUACUUCCCUAGUCGAUGGGUCAGCAUCAAUUUUGGUCGGUGGAUAAAGGCUCAGAGAAUGUGGCAUCUUCGGGUGUGUUAUAGCUCUGGGUCGCAUACAUCGGCUGGGAUUGAGGAACUCAGCACGCCGCAAGGCCGGGUACUUGUACCACGUACGUGCUAAGGAUGCUGGCAUAAUGGCUUUAAUCGACCCGUCUUGAAACACGG